UGCCAAAGCAAGAGCAGCAAGUAGGCAGCGUUAGCGGAUGGCCAGGCCCCCUGAUCCGGCCUUUCCUGCCAUCUUCCUCUCCUCCACAGGAACCUCCUUCCACUCCAGCCAAACCGCACUUUUCACUCUCCCCUAGACAGCUCUAGGAGUCAUCCGUUCCCUCUGCAUCCAGCGCCUGCCUAGCACAAUCUCUUGCCUAAGACCUGGCAAUGACCUCCUAACUGGCCCCCUUUCUCCGCUCCUGCCCCUCUGCCGUCCAUUUCCAGCACAGCAGCCAACAGCAACGACCAUCCCUGCAAAUCUCGACUGCUACUGAGUACCAGGUGCCCUUCCAGACACUCGGCACAUCCUGGGGAGCAAAAUGGAUGCCUGUCCUUGAGGUGCUUUUAUUCCAGCAGGAGAGAGAUGGAUGAUAAACAAUGAAGGUAACGGGUCUUAAAAUUGCCUCGGACAGUAGACAGUGAUACACACCAAGGAAAGAAAAGUGGGAGCAGGUGUUUACUCUAUGCCUAGCACUGUCCUGGGCGCCGGGGCACCGUGGAGAACAAGAUUGACAGGGUCCCUGUGCUAAGGGAGACAGACCAUAAACACAAAGCAAAUAGAGAAGAUAACUUCGGGUGAUGAUAUGAGCUGCAAAGAAGAUGAAACAGGGCAGCGUGGCUGCGAGGGCUGGGGAUGGCCAGGGAGGCCUCAUCCCGGGCGUGGCUUCUGAGCUGAGAGGGGACCAGCUGUCUGGGGAUAAGGGAAAAAGAGCUCCAGGCAGCUGAAGGCUAUUUUGCGUCAAUAAAAACGAAAUCAUCACCAUUGUCAUCAUCAUCAUCUAAUGGGGAAUGAAGGCAGAAGGCACAGAAGGGCCUCUGGGAUAGAGUUGCGAAGAGAUUUACAUGGAGAGUGACAAAGAAACAAAGCCGAGGGACGUUCCGACAUGGAUAAGUUCAAGAUGGACCCAGUUAAAUCAAGCAAAGUUGUCAGUGAAAUCAGAGAGCAAGUUGCAGUUUCAGGAGUGCCCGACACGCUCCAUAAUGGCGGCUGGUCUAAGAGGCGAUUACAUCCAAGCUGGUCCCCUCUCCAGACCUAGGCUAGGAUUCGUUACAGAAGAUGGAUCACCUCACACACCUUUGGAGAUAGGAGGCAGAAUUCCCCCAAAUAAGAGAUGGUCUGAAUCCUCAUGGGGCCCCACCAUUAAACAUCUGCCCCAACACUCCAUUCUCUCUGCUUACAAGAUGUAAAUC